rnacentral:rRNA from 1 species
AUUGAACGCUGGCGGCAGGCCUAACACAUGCAAGUCGAGCGGCAGCGGGAAAGUAGCUUGCUACUUUUGCCGGCGAGCGGCGGACGGGUGAGUAAUGCCUGGGGAUCUGCCCAGUCGAGGGGGAUAACUACUGGAAACGGUAGCUAAUACCGCAUACGCCCUACGGGGGAAAGCAGGGGACCUUCGGGCCUUGCGCGAUUGGAUGCACCCAGGUGGGAUUAGCUAGUUGGUGAGGUAAUGGCUCACCAAGGCGACGAUCCCGAGCUGGUCUGAGAGGAUGAUCAGCCACACUGGAACUGAGACACGGUCCAGACUCCUACGGGAGGCAGCAGUGGGGAAUAUUGCACAAUGGGGGAAACCCUGAUGCAGCCAUGCCGCGUGUGUGAAGAAGGCCUUCGGGUUGUAAAGCACUUUCAGCGAGGAGGAAAGGUUGGUAGCUAAUAACUGCCAGCUGUGACGUUACUCGCAGAAGAAGCACCGGCUAACUCCGUGCCAGCCGCCGCAGUAA